rnacentral:rRNA from 1 species
AUUGAACGCUGGCGGCAGGCCUAACACAUGCAAGUCGAACGGUAGCACAGAGGAGCUUGCUCCUUGGGUGACGAGUGGCGGACGGGUGAGUAAUGUCUGGGAAACUGCCCGAUGGAGGGGGAUAACUACUGGAAACGGUAGCUAAUACCGCAUAAUGUCGCAAGACCAAAGAGGGGGACCUUCGGGCCUCUUGCCAUCGGAUGUGCCCAGAUGGGAUUAGCUGGUAGGUGAGGUAAUGGCUCACCUAGGCGACGAUCCCUAGCUGGUCUGAGAGGAUGACCAGCCACACUGGAACUGAGACACGGUCCAGACUCCUACGGGAGGCAGCAGUGGGGAAUAUUGCACAAUGGGCGCAAGCCUGAUGCAGCCAUGCCGCGUGUGUGAAGAAGGCCUUCGGGUUGUAAAGCACUUUCAGCGGGGAGGAAGGCAGUACGGUUAAUAACCGUGUUGAUUGACGUUACCCGCAGAAGAAGCACCGGCUAACUCCGUGCCAGCCGCCGCUGUAAAAC